GUAAGGCGCUCGCUGGGGAGGCGCAGGGCGGAGGCGUGGGCGGGAGCGCCGGAGGUGCAGAUGCUGGAGGGCUCCGCUGCCAAAAUCUCGAUACAAGACUUUUUCAGGAUCUGAGGAGAAAAGCAUCAUGAAAGUGAAGGAGACUGACUGACGACCCACUACCCCACUAACGUGCAAGAAGUGACAGCUUUCAGUUCACUCUUAAUCCACUCCAGAUCACAGCUGGCAACCCGACCUUUAUCGCGGCUCAACAAGCCACGUACCCCAGUGACAGCAGCACCUUUAUAACAGGCUGUUUUUCAUUUGAGUGAAAACGCAUUAGGUUGGUCUUAAGAAAUACAGCGCAUACUUUGAUCACGUCAGGCCCAAUAUCAGUCGUACAGAUCAAAAGGAGCAAAGUCCCAGCAAGAUCUCCUGGAGUUAUGGACAGGAUCCAUGAAUGGAAUAACUUGAACCUAUUUUGCCUUAUUCCUGCCAGUGUGCUGGCGGAUUAUUGAUGGUAGACAUUAUAGAAAGUCCAGGAAAGAUAAAUUAAUUACUUUGACCUUUUAUCUCUCUGUAGGCCAUAAUUAUAGCAGGAAG